UCCCUGGUGGCUAAGUGAUAAAGAAUCUGCUUGUCACUGCAGGAGACAUGGGUUCGAUCCCUAAUCCGGGAA
rnacentral:tRNA from 1 species